UGACCGCUUAUUAUAAGCUGAGGCUACACGGACGGCCGGGUCAAAUGCCGA
rnacentral:sRNA from 12 species